rnacentral:rRNA from 1 species
UACGGCGGGAGCUAGCGUUGUUCGGAAUUACUGGGCGUAAAGCGCACGUAGGCGGCUAUUCAAGUCGGGGGUGAAAGCCCGGGGCUCAACCCCGGAACUGCCCUCGAAACUAGGUAGCUAGAAUCUUGGAGAGGCGAGUGGAAUUCCGAGUGUAGAGGUGAAAUUCGUAGAUAUUCGGAAGAACACCAGUGGCGAAGGCGACUCGCUGGACAAGUAUUGACGCUGAGGUGCGAAAGCGUGGGGAGCAAACAGG